CCUACGGGGAGCAGCAGUGGGGGAUAUUGCACAAUGGGGGGAACCCUGAUGCAGCGACGCCGCGUGGGUGAAGGAGUGCUUCGGCAUGUAAAGCUCUAUCGGCAGGGAAGAAGCAAGACGGUACCUGACUAAGAAGCCCCGGCUAACUACGUGCCAGCAGCCGCGGUAAUACGGAGGGGGCGAGCGUUAUCCGGAUUCACUGGGUGUAAAGGGAGCGUAGACGGCCAAGCAAGCCAGGGGUGAAAGCCCGGGGCCCAACCCCGGGAGUGCCCUUGGAACUGUAAGGCUAGAGUGUCGGAGAGGCAGGCGGAAUUCCUAGUGUAGCGGUGAAAUGCGUAGAUAUUAGGAGGAACACCAGUGGCGAAGGCGGCCUGCUGGACGAUGACUGACGUUGAGGCUCGAAAGCGUGGGGAGCAAACAGGAUUAGAUACCCCUGUAGUC
rnacentral:rRNA from 1 species